rnacentral:rRNA from 1 species
AACGCGAAGAACCUUACCUGGGCUCGAAAUGUAGAGGACGACAACAGAGAUGUUGUUUCUCGAAAGGGUCUCUAUAUAGGUGCUGCAUGGCUGUCGUCAGCUCGUGCCGUGAGGUGUUUGGUUAAGUCCAGCAACGAGCGCAACCCUUAUCGUUAGUUGCCAGCGCGUAAAGGCGGGAACUCUAACGAGACUGCCUGGGUUAACCAGGAGGAAGGUGAGGAUGACGUCAAGUCCGCAUGGCCUUUAUGUCCAGGGCUACACACGUGCUACAAUGGUCGAUACAGAAGGCAGCGAAACCGUAAGGCGGAGCAAAUCCUUCAAAGUCGAUCUCAGUUCAGAUUGUGGACUGCAACUCGUCCACAUGAAGUUGGAAUUGCUAGUAAUGGCGUGUCAGCAACAACGCCGUGAAUACGUUCCCGGGCCUUGUACACACCGGUACUA